GUAGCCCUCAGGCCUUACAUUGCAAAGCAACCUCUGUAUCUCCUGGAUUAUCUGCUUGUCACUGCCCAAGGCCUGUUGAUUAUCACUUCAUCAAGCAAAAUGAGCACCCAAAUAUGUGAUGAGCUCAUACUGUACAAGUAAGAAGUGAUGAGGACAGAUGCUCCAUUCGUGUGGAGUGCUGUAGUUCCAUUGACUUCAACUGGGGAUCUGCCCCAUCUUAAUCCUGAUGGAGGAUGCUUUACAAUCUAAUUUCAGGCAUGAUGCAACAAAGGGAUGGGAUCAGAAAGGAGAUCCGUGUGUGGAUGUGGAACUGACAUGCCAUAAGGUUAUGAAUAUUGAGCUCUAACCAUUAUAUGAACACUGCAUGUGACCUGGUAAGUGAGAGGAAGUUAUGGUAUAUUGGGAUUAUUGGAAUUUCCUGCAUGACAAUAUUGAUCUAACUAAUAGGGGACUGUGGGAAGAGCAAAAACAGGAAAGUCACAUAAUAAAUCUAGAUAAGGACAUCCCAACACACACUGUGGCAAGCCAUUAGCAUCACUAAUCCUGUCUCUGGCCUCUAAGAAGUAGCAAGUCUAAUUUUGCCAAAGCUGUGAGGCUAGAGAUCAAAAGAACACUGAAGAAUUAAAAGCUUUUGUCAGUGGCAAAAGGGAGUCACUUGUCAGUAGCUGUCUAAGGAGAUCGGCUGACACUGAAAGAGAGACUCUGGGGAGUCUAAACAGUAGGGCCUGCCCAAAUCCAGAGAAGAGCUAGAU